GUCCUUGUAGUAUAAGUUAGUACUUCGGUCUUGUAAACCGGACAGUGGAGAGCCUCACUCCCUAGGACA
rnacentral:tRNA from 1 species